AGCUGUGGGCAGCUGUGGGCUCCGGGGCCUUUCUGCACCCGACGCGGAGGGCAGCUCCUGCGCCUCCCCCGGGGAGGAAUCCAGGAGGGCGGCGGGGUACCGGCGGGCACCCUGAGAGUGAGGGAACUUGCAGGGCCGAGCCGUGGGCGCCCGGGGCGGGGAAGCCCGCGCAGUGCGGACUGUAGGUGGCGCCACGAGGCUGCAGUUGGGUCUCCCUGGCGGCUCCCGCGGCCGCGCGUCCUAGCGGUUCUCGGUCCCGCGUGGCCGUCCCCGCCGUCGCCAGCCCGCCGGUCUGCGGACAACCCUGUGUGUGUUUGGGGCGUUAGGGGUAGCACCCCCGCUGGCAGAGGCCAAGGCCCAGACCGACGCAUGGGCGUGGGACAGGCGGCCGGACCCCCCACCCCCCCUCCGCCUCUCCAACAUUCUACGCGGUUCCCUAGCUGCAGAGAAUGCGGGGCGCCUGCACCCUGGGCUUUCCCGGGGCCCUCGGGGUGCACCGUGGGGCAGGUUGUGUCCCUGCCCUGUGUCGCAGCAGGUGUGUGGGGGUGCUGGUGACAGUGUGACAAUGAGUGCCCGUCCACCCGCAACCUGAGAGUAGCCACCGGUGGGAACAGGGACGCGUUUGGGACUCCUGAGUCCGUGGGGAGGCCUGUGUGUGUGCUGUGCGCCUGUGGAAGUGCCUGGGGCUGAUACUGGGCGCUGGGCCUCCGGCCUGGGGAGUUCUUCCUUUGUUCCAGGGGAGGUCCCCGCAGGCUUCUGGAGGCCUGCAGGAUGGCCUCCAAGGGCAGAGAUAAGCAGUGUGGCUUUCUCCCUCUUAAAUCCCUCCCUCUGGGUUCCCUGGGCUCCUUCUCCAAAAGGAAGGAAGACUUGAGUGGGAGAUGGGCACCAUCCCUGUUCUAAGGAAACAGCUGGGGUGCUGUGUGUGUGCACAUGCUUGCGAGUGUGUCUUUGUAGGGACAUCUUUUUGAGUCUGUUGGACCGGGAUCUCCCAGAGAAGGCCCAGAGGAGAAGCAUCCCUGAAAGCUGGCAAGCUCUAGGGCCCCCUUGACCCAUGUAGGUGGGGGUUGACUUGGCCAGUAUCAGCAACAGAAGACAUGGCACCGGAGGUGGUGAGCUGCCUGUGUCUGGUGCGUUUGGAGCCUCAGGACUUUUAUAUCCUUUCCAGCUCAUUCCAGAAUCCAUAUAUUUCAUAAGCAGCUGCCCUGAGCUCUGCCCCAGGAGUAGGAGGCAUGGCAGAAGGGGUUUAGAGAGGAGUAAGGCCCCACCCCUGUCCAACGGGGCCCGUUCAACAGAGCAGAAGGGACAUGUCUUUGGUGGCUGCCCGUGUUGGGGGUGUGAUCAGAGGGAGAGGUAAGAAGAGCUCGGAGGGCCUAAAUGCCAGAAAAAAGGAACUUUGGACUUUCUCCUACAGAAUCCAGGGGCAGAGGCCCCCAAUUACGUGUCACCACCCACAGACUUCUUCCCACACAGACUUAGACCCCCUCCCCCCCCCCCACUGCCCACGGAUUCAUGGCACGCUGUGUGAUCUGGGAGGGUUGCUUAACCUCUCUGAGCUGUAUUUUCUCCCCUUCCCUUCUAGUAGCAAGCCCAGUGCUCACUACUGAGGACAGCAAAGGAGGUAUGAUCCAGGUUUGGCCAAUCCGAGUGCCCCAUCCUGGUGCUGUGGUUGGUUCGGAGGCGGGCACGCAAUCCCUGUGGCCAGAGUCUUUUCUGCUGGACGGGCUUUGGAAUCUUCACCACCACAGUCUUUCUUUGGUUUUUGAGCCGUAAAACCUGUAUUGGCUUUAGCUGGUUUGCAUUUUCACUGUCCUGUGAUUGGGAGAGUCCCGAGCAGAUCAGAAAUAAUGAAGUAUUCCCCGAGUGGCGGGUUGAGUGACAUGGUGUGUGGAGUGCCAUUCCUUAUGGGCAGGGGAGAGAGCUAAGGCUGAGAGUCAAAGAGAUCUCAGGGACCCCCUCUCUGCAGUUCCUCUCUGAGUGACCCUGGACAGGUCAUCAUCCCUUUCCAAGGCUUUGUUUCCUUGGGCAUAAAAUGGGUCUCUGGCCCCCCUCCCCCCUCCCCCCUCCUCUCUCUCAGGCUCCCUUUACUCCUUCUUGUCCUCCAGGCUUCAGACUUUCUCUCCUACCCACUCCCCACAGGAAGGCCUGGUAGCCGUAAGCCCAAAUGUGACUGUGAGCCUCCCUGGACCAAGCCCCGAGUCCUUGAACCACUUUCCGGGUCAUGCCCGGCCCUUAGCUUCUGUCUCGCUGCCCGGCAUCCCCAGGUGCUGGGCGAACUGUGUUCUCUCGGGUCUCCUGACCCUGCACGCAGGCCUGGAGUAGAGGGGUGGGGGUGCCCUCUCUCCUGCCCUGUGUGUCGCUGGUGAACCUCACCUUCUGUGCGCUAAGGUCCUGAACCUAUAGGUGGUUGCACGAGCCCCCCACUGUCCCAGGUGCCUGCGGAAGCCAGUGUUGCACCCCAGGCUGCCUGCCAGAGAGGGCCAGACCCAGGGAGACGUGAUUUGUGGUCAUGGUCAAUGCUGGUCUAAGGAAGCCCCAUUCAGGUUCUUAACCCAGCCCCCCAGGAGCUCUCGCCGGCCAUCCCUGGAGGCUUUGCUCCCACCAGGGUGACAGGAUCAGUCUUUGGGGUGGGGCCACCGUCCCCCACUGGGGCUGCUUGUAUCUCUUUCUGCCCUUCCCAGGAACCCAGACCCAGAGCCGGGCACGGUGGGACACCUGGCCCCAAGGGUGGCGGAGAGCCCCGAGAGGGACCAGGACAAUAAAGAGACACAGAGCUGUGACAUCAUUUCCAAAUCAUCGUGGCCAUCAAGAAAGACUCCACGUUGUGUCCUGACAGAAGGAGGAGGACAGCUGUGCCCUGAGUGAGGCAACACUUGACCUGAGCCCGCCCACUAGCUUGGGUAGGGUGGGGAGUGCAUUGCCAGCCAGAGGGCCUUUGCUAACGAAGUUCUUUCUCAAUGCUUAGUUUUUCAUUGUGUUUUGUUUGUUUGUUUGUUUGUUUGGGCUGAUGAAAAAUGUACUCUUUUCCCAUCAUCAGAGAACAAGAGAAAGAUGAUGCUUAUUUACCAUGCGCUGCUUGAGUCCUCCUGUCUGUGAUCCUGUCAGGGGCUUCUGCUUCUGGGAAGCUAUGGAGGGAUGUCCAGGGAGAGGCAUGCCCCCCCCACCCCUUCCCUGAACCUCCCCUUCUUUCUGGCCUGUGUCACCCCACCCUCCAUGAGAUCCGCGCUCCCUGGGGGCAGGUCCGGCCUGGCCCUCCUUUCUCAGCAGAGCCUGCACUGGGGACCAUUGAAGGAUGCUGAAGGGCUGAGGGUUGGUGCUUUUCUUUAUGCAACAGUAGUCACUUAUUGAGCACCUACUGUUUGCUAAGGCCCAUGCUGAGCUUCGUGUGAGCCCGGCCUUCCUGGAUCCCCGGUCUGUGAAGGGCUGGAGGCUAAGUAUAUAUUAUUCGAUUUCAAGGAAGGCAAGAGCUCAUAGCAGGGCUUGGUGUCCACGGGAGGUGCUGGGAGCUGCGACCCCAAAGGUGAGAGGAUGAUGGGCCCAAAGGGCAAGUUUGGCUGGAGGUCCGGAAGCAGGAAGGACGUCACGUUUUGAGGACAGGAAGCCACGCCACCGAGCCAGGGAGCUCUGAGAAGGGGUGCGUUGUGCGGGCCAAGGCAGGCCGAGGCCUCCCCAGACAGCUGGGCCAGGCCUCCUCCGUGGAGCACAGGCUCUCCCCGUCUCCCGACCGUCUUCCGUUUGCUGCAAGUGGCAGAGCCAAGGACCCAGAAAGACUCUGGGAAUAAGAUGGAAAAAGACAGGUUCCUGCCGUCUGGAGUUCCAGCCUCUCCUGGAGCAAGCCUUGGUUUUGCUGUGUUAUCUGAUUAAACUUUCCUGCUCUUGUACCAUGGUCGGACUCAGGCACAGUCUUUCUUGUUUGUUUGUUUUCAUACGGGCUACCAAGUACAGAAGCCAAGAUAUUAAUUAACAAUGUUUAGAAAUAGUCAAAACUGAUAGAGUUUUCCCCAAAUGAGUAAACACAAGUCUUCACGCCAAAGAGGCACAUGGUCAUGAAAAACCACAGAGCAUUAAGAUACUUGAGUACUGGGGCUUCUGGGUGCCUCAGUCAGGAGAGCGUCUCUUGGUUUCGGCUCAGGUCACGAUCUCAGGGUCCUGGGAUCCAGUCCCCCAUCAGGCUCCACGCUCACUGGGGAGUCUGCUUGAGAUACUCUCCCUCUGGCGUUUCCCCCACUUACUCUCUCUAAAUAAAUAAAAUCUUUUUUUUUAAAAGAUACUAGAGUACUUCUUUAUCCAAUAUUAUGAUUUCCAUUCCCUCUAUUUUCUUUACAGUGUAUCUCUUUAGGUUAGUAUCAGCUAAGCUUCGUUAUGUACUGAUAACCACCCAUACUUUUCGAUACUUUUCCAGAACUCAGAAUUCUUUGAGUUUAUAAACCAUAUCUCACCUAUCUUUCACAGCUCAGCCUGGGUCGCUAGACUGUUCUGAAUUAUCUCCAGGGCUUAAUAAAUGCUACGUACAUAGAGAUUUGGUUCUGAUUUCAGCACAUCUCUCGUUUUUAAAUUUUCUAAAAAUCUUUUUGUUUUAAUGUUAGGGAUAGACUUACAAGAAGUUGCAAAAAAUAGUGAUGCGAGUCCGGGUUACUCUUCCCCCAGCUUCCCCCAGAGGUGGUACCUUGCGCAGCUGUGAGACGAUACCAAAGCCGGGAAAUUAUAUCGGUACGAUUCUGCUAGAGAAACACAGCCUGAUGUCGGUUUCACCAGGUUUUACACAAUUUCAUUUGUGUUUCCAUGUAGUUUAAUCCAAUGUAUAGAUUUGUAUGACUCAGAUGCAUUUAACAUUAUUUUUAUUUUCCCUAACUGUUGAACUGAGGUAUAACUCUUAGAGGGCAAGGUGCACCGAGCUUAAGCGGACACAUGUGACCCCUCUUGAGAUGACACAGCCACUGUGAAGACUGGUAGCAUGGAAGGGUUUUGCUGUUCCUGAACUUCUAGUAACAGUUUCUGUUCUCCUGUGCUUGCCUCCUUUUGAAUGGUGAAGGAAAGUACUGGGAGGUUCCAGGAGGUUCUCGUGGACGCCUUUUGUCAUAGGUAUAAUGUGGUUAUUUCAUUACUAGUAUUAACCAUGGUUAGGGAAAUCUGUGUUGAUUCUAUUUGUUCAAUAAAUAUUUAUAGGCUGUGUUUUGGGCAGAGCCCAAAAGAGCCUUUACUGUGGAAACGAAUGGGCAAGGCCACAUAAGCACGUCUGAGUUGCUUGGACUUGCCGUGGAAGGCAGUCAAAUCCAUCUCUCUUGGAGGGAAGAGGACCUGGCCAGGGACCUGGUACCUGAUUGGGAGCUGGAGGCCAUCAGACAGAAGCUGCGGGUCACGGAGCAGGCCCUGGGGUGGCGCACAGGGGAAGCGCACGUCAGGGACUCCCAUGGAGAAGGUGCAGUCGACCACAGGUCAGUCUUUGGUCCAGGAGCCGGAGGCCUACUUCAAUUUCUGUGAGCAGUCCCCUGGGUCACUGCGCUUUGUGACAAGUUCUCUGGACGCCCCAGGGGCGAUGUCUACAUGGAGUUUGCGCUGAAAGCUCAGCCCGGGCUUCGGUGGAGCUGGACAAGGUGUCUUCUGAGACCAGGUCAUCGUGGUGCUGCCCUCAACGGCCACCGUGCCAGCCCACUCCUUGGACCACGGGGGCUUGCGGAGACAGCCAGGUGCCCAAGGAGGACCAUUCCCCCGCCGGAGCUGCCAGGUCAAAAUGUCUUGGCCAAGAGGAUGACCAGGGCCCUCCUUGGAUGCUCUGGAAACCAGAAACUCCAGUCAGCAGCAGGUAUGAGAGCGGCAGAGGCCCUGGCAGCCUUCCUGGAGGAGGAGGAGGUCUUGAAGUCAGGCCGGCUGGACCGGCCACCUCAGGUAUCCACUGGAAGACUGCGGACAUGAUGGUGAUGAGCAAGGGCUCGGGCGUCUGGAAGGGCCCUGCUCGAUUCCCAGCUCUGCCCUUAGCAGCCGUGUGACCUUGGGAAAAAUGACAGGACUCCUGUGAGCCUCGAUUUCCUCAUCUGUCAAAUGGGAUAAAGACAGAACCUCAAAGUGAUCUUGAAGGCCUUCACCCAGGGUGGCCCAGAGGAACAUUGCACUGGUGUUGAGUGUUGGCCGUGCAACAGAGACAGGAUUCUUUCUUUUCUCCUCACAUUCUUUUUCUCCUCGAAAGAACUAGAGACUCUCUGGAAAAUACUUCUUGACCUGAAAAAGUCCCAACUGGACGCUCCUGUGGGUCUGUUACAGACAUGACUUUGCAAAUCAGAUGUGACAGGGAAAUGUGUGCCAAGAUGGUGGCCAGCUGUUCGGCUGUGGGGAAGGGGCUGCUUAGAGACGUGUGCGGCCUCCUCAGAGAGCAGACGGCCAUCAGCCUCGGCUGUGCCCGGGGCACAGGUGUGUGAGGGUGGGCGCCCCUGCCUGGGAGGGGGGAGGGCUAGUGGGCUGCUGGCGGAUUAAACUCUUUCACACACACACUCACACUCCCUUGCACACUCGCGCGUGUACACGCGGGCGCGCACACACACACACACACACACACACACCACUGUUCCGAGAGAAGCUGGGCUGGAAGCAAGGACUCCACUGUACCCACUUGGAGGAGGCAGGCAUUCGGGACUGGAGUCAGAAGCAGGUGCAGGUCCCACAGACACCCCUUCCACGCCGGGCAAACUCCGUCGCUCUCGAGGCCUUGCUGUUGUGGAAGGAUGCUAAGGGUCCCUGCUUCUUGGUGAGAGCGAGAAGAUUAAAAAAAAAAAAAAAAAAAGAAUCAAUUUUGUAAUGACAGUGGUUGGCAUGUCAUAACUGCUACAGCGGUCCGCUGAUUUCACCGUCCCCUCCCCUGCUCUGUAAGCGGGGUCUCCUCCCCGGAGCCCCGUGGGCUUUGGAAGGGGUAUCUAUCACCCUGGCUCAUUUCCCAGCCACAGGGAUUGGCCCAGGGAUGGACACGUGGCCCCUGCCGGGCCUAUGGGAGACCUGGCCUGGGACGUGUCUAUGGUAUUUGGCGAGACAAGCCUCCUUCUGAGGCUCGGAAGUCUUGUUUAGGUUGUCCCUGCCACGUGGAAGAUCCCCCCCCUUUUUUUUAAAGUUUCUUUUUUCAUGUAUUUAAGUCAUUUCUACACCCAACGUGCUGCUCAUACUCAUGACCCUGAGAUCAAGAGUUGAGUGUCCU